rnacentral:rRNA from 1 species
AGUCGAGCGGACAGAAGGGAGCUUGCUCCCGGAUGUUAGCGGCGGACGGGUGAGUAACACGUGGGUAACCUGCCUGUAAGACUGGGAUAACUCCGGGAAACCGGAGCUAAUACCGGAUAGUUCCUUGAACCGCAUGGUUCAAGGAUGAAAGACGGUUUCGGCUGUCACUUACAGAUGGACCCGCGGCGCAUUAGCUAGUUGGUGGGGUAAUGGCUCACCAAGGCGACGAUGCGUAGCCGACCUGAGAGGGUGAUCGGCCACACUGGGACUGAGACACGGCCCAAACUCCUACGGGAGGCAGCAGUAGGGAAUCUUCCGCAAUGGACGAAAGUCUGACGGAGCAACGCCGCGUGAGUGAUGAAGGUUUUCGGAUCGUAAAGCUCUGUUGUUAGGGAAGAACAAGUGCGAGAGUAACUGCUCGCACCUUGACGGUACCUAACCAGAAAGCCACGGCUAACUACGUGCCAGCAGCCGCGGUAAUACGUAGGUGGCAAGCGUUGUCCGGAAUUAUUGGGCGUAAAGGGCUCGCAGGCGGUUUCUUAAGUCUGAUGUGAAAGCCCCCGGCUCAACCGGGGAGGGUCAUUGGAAACUGGGAAACUUGAGUGCAGAAGAGGAGAGUGGAAUUUCACGUGUAGCGGUGAAAUGCGUAGAGAUGUGGAGGAGCACCAGUGGCGAAGGCGACUCUCUGGUCUGUAUCUGACGCUGAGGAGCGAAAGCGUGGGGAGCGAACAGGAUUAGAUACCCUGGUAGUGCACGCCGUAAACGAUGAGUGCUAAGUGUUAGGGGGUUUCCGCCCCUUAGUGCUGCAGCUAACGCAUUAAGCACUCCGCCUGGGGAGUACGGUCGCAAGACUGAAACUCAAAGGAAUUGACGGGGGGCCGCACAAGCGGUGGAGCAUGUGGUUUAAUUUGAAGCAACGCGAAGAACCUUACCAGGUCUUGACAUCCUCUGACAACCCUAGAGAUAGGGCUUUCCCUUCGGGGACAGAGUGACAGGUGGUGCAUGGUUGUCGUCAGCUCGUGUCGUGAGAUGUUGGGUUAAGUCCCGCAACGAGCGCAACCCUUGAUUUUAGUUGCCAGCAUUCAGUUGGGCACUCUAAGGUGACUGCCGGUGACAAACCGGAGGAAGGUGGGGAGGACGUCAAAUCAUCAUGCCCCUUAUGACCUGGGGUACACACGUGCUACAAUGGACAGAACAAAAGGGUGCAAGACCGCAAGGUUUAGCCAAUCCCAUAAAUCUGUUUUCAGUUCGGAUCGCAGUUUGCAACUCGACUGCGUGAAGCUGGAAUCGCUAGUAAUCGCGGAUCAGCAUGCCGCGGUGAAUACGUUCCCGGGCCUUGUACACACCGCCCGUCACACCACGAGAGUUUGCAACACCCGAAGUCGGUGAGGUAACCUUUAUGGAGCCAGCCGCCGAAGG